rnacentral:rRNA from 1 species
CCUACGGGAGGCAGCAGUGGGGGAUAUUGCACAAUGGGGGAAACUCUGAUGCAGCGACGCCGCGUGUGGGAAGACGGUCCUCUGGAUUGUAAACCACUGUCCCCAGGGACGAAGAUGACGGUACCUGGGGAGGAAGCUCCGGCUAACUACGUGCCAGCAGCCGCGGUAAUACGGAGGAUGCGAGCGUUAUCCGGAGUUAUUGGGUUAAAGGGGUGCGUAGGCGGAAUGCCAAGUCAGCGGGAAACUCGCGGGGCUCAACCUCGCUCCGCCGUUGACACUGGCGUUCUUGAGUGGGCGAGAAGUAUGCGGAAUGCGUGGUGUAGCGGUGAAAUGCAUAGAUAUCACGCAGAACUCCGAUUGCGAAGGCAGCAUACCGGAGCCCAACUGACGCUGAAGCACGAAAGCGUGGGUAUCGAACAGGAUUAGAUACCCGAGUAGUC